rnacentral:snRNA from 1 species
AUGCUUGCUUCAGUGGCACAUAUACUAAAACUAAGAUUAGCAUGGGUCUGCACAAGGAUAAUGUGCAAAGUCAUGAAGCACUCCAUAUUUUA